UACGUAGGGUGCGAGCGUUGUCCGGAAUUAUUGGGCGUAAAGAGCUCGUAGGCGGUGUGUCGCGUCGGUCGUGAAAACUUGGGGCUUAACUCUGAGCUUGCGGUCGAUACGGGCAUCACUUGAGUUCGGCAGGGGAGACUGGAAUUCCUGGUGUAGCGGUGAAAUGCGCAGAUAUCAGGAGGAACACCGGUGGCGAAGGCGGGUCUCUGGGCCGAUACUGACGCUGAGGAGCGAAAGCGUGGGGAGCAAACAGG
rnacentral:rRNA from 1 species